rnacentral:rRNA from 1 species
UGGACGAAAGUCUGAUGGAGCAACGCCGCGUGAGUGAUGAAGGCUUUAGGGUCGUAAAACUCUGUUGUUGGAGAAGAACGUGUGUGAGAGUAACUGCUCAUGCAGUGACGGUAUCCAACCAGAAAGCCACGGCUAACUACGU